rnacentral:lncRNA from 1 species
AACCUUUCCAGUUAAGAAAAUAACUCCAUAUCUUUUUCUUUUUUUUUCUUUUUUCUUUUAUUUUUCUUAAGCUAAUUUGAGUUUGGUUCAUAUCAUCUGCAAACAAAAUGUAAAUUGAGCUUAUGAAAUGGGGCCAGCAUAUGUGGAUUUUCACCAGCAAGACCUUGCUUCAAAGAAGGCUGCAACAUUUGCCAUUCGAGGAUAUCAACUCACAAGAUGUCCACUCUGUUACUUCUCCCUCCUCACCUAACAGUCACUACAGUGAUCUGCCUCUUAAUUUGUUCAGGUAACAUCCAUUUAUGUGAUUUUUUAGACUUAAUAAAGUGGCAUAAACCACAGCCUGUACCAUUCAU